rnacentral:rRNA from 1 species
UCUCCUGUGCUCGUGCAGUCACGAUCGAUGAAGAACGCAGCGAAAUGCGAUAAGUAAUGUGAAUUGCAGAAUUCAGUGAAUCAUCGAAUCUUUGAACGCAUCUUGCGCUCCUUGGUAUUCCGAGGAGCAUGCCUGUUUGAGUGUCAUUUGAGUUCUCAAGGUCAUACUUUCGGUGUGGCUUUGGAUAUGGAGGUUUGCAGGCUUCUGAAAAAUGAAGUCGGCUCCUCUGAAAUGCAUUAGUGGUAUCUGAGCAGAGACUACUUACAGGUGUGAUAAUUAUCUAUCUAUGCCUUGGUAUGCUGCAUUAAACGGAUUGCACUGCUUAUAACAAGUGAAAUUUGACAAGUUUGACCUCAAAUCAGGUAGGACUACCCGCUGAACUUAA